rnacentral:rRNA from 1 species
UACGUAGGGGGCUAGCGUUGUCCGGAAUAUUGGGCGUAAAGCGCGUGUAGGCGGUCCGGUUAGUCGGCUGUGAAAGUCAAGGGCUCAACCCUUGAAUGCCGGUCGAUACUGCCGGACUAGAGUCCGGAAGAGGCAAGUGGAAUUCCCGGUGUAGCGGUGAAAUGCUUAGAUAUCGUCAAAGAACACCUAUAGCGAAGGCAGCUUACUAGGCUGUAACUGACGCUGAGGCA